rnacentral:rRNA from 1 species
CAGCAGCCGCGGGAAUACGUAGGGUGCAAGCGUUAAUCGGAAUUACUGGGCGUAAAGCGUGCGCAGGCGGUUUGUUAAGACAGGUGUGAAAUCCCCGGGCUCAACCUGGGAACUGCAUUUGUGACUGGCAAGCUAGAGUAUGGCAGAGGGGGGUAGAAUUCCACGUGUAGCAGUGAAAUGCGUAGAGAUGUGGAGGAAUACCGAUGGCGAAGGCAGCCCCCUGGGCCAAUACUGACGCUCAUGCACGAAAGCGUGGGGAGCAAACAGGAUUAGAUACCCCUGUAGUCCCUGUCUCUUAUAC